rnacentral:rRNA from 1 species
AGAGUUUGAUCAUGGCUCAGGACGAACGCUGGCGGCAUGCCUAACACAUGCAAGUCGAACGGAGUUAAAGAGCUUGCUCUUUAACUUAGUGGCGAACGGGUGAGUAACGCGUGAGCAACCUGCCUUCAAAACUGGGAUAACACAGAGAAAUUUGUGCUAAUACCGGAUAAGACCACAGUACCGCAUGGUACAGGGGUAAAAACUCAGGUGAUUGAAGAGGGGCUCGCGACCCAUUAGCUAGUUGGCGGGAUAACAGCCCACCAAGGCAACGAUGGGUAGCCGACUUGAGAGAGUGAUCGGCCACACUGGAACUGAGACACGGUCCAGACUCCUACGGGAGGCAGCAGUGGGGAAUAUUGGGCAAUGGAGGAAACUCUUACCCAGCAAUGCCGCGUGAGUGAAGAAGGUCGUAAGAUUGUAAAGCUCUUUAAUUGGGGACGAAUAAAAUGACGGUACCCAAGGAAUAAGCCCCGGCUAACUACGUGCCAGCAGCCGCGGUAAUACGUAGGGGGCAAGCGUUGUCCGGAAUGACUGGGCGUAAAGGGUGUGUAGGUGGUUGUCUAAGUUGGAAGUGUAAUACCCAGGGCUUAACCCGGGUGCUGCUUCCAAGACUGGAUGACUUGAGUGCAGGAGAGGAAAGCGGAAUUCCUAGUGUAGCGGUGGAAUGCGUAGAUAUUAGGAGGAACACCAGAGGCGAAGGCGGCUUUCUGGACUGUAACUGACACUGAGGCACGAAAGCGUGGGGAGCAAACAGGAUUAGAUACCCUGGUAGUCCACGCUGUAAACGAUGGAUACUAGGUGUAGGGGGUAUCGACUCCCCCUGCACCGCAGUAAACACAAUAAGUAUCCCGCCUGGGGAGUACGGCCGCAAGGUUGAAACUCAAAUGAAUUGACGG